AUUGAACGCUGGCGGCAUGCUUUACACAUGCAAGUCGAACGGUAACAGGCCGCAAGGUGCUGACGAGUGGCGAACGGGUGAGUAAUGCAUCGGAACGUGCCCAGUCGUGGGGGAUAACUACUCGAAAGAGUAGCUAAUACCGCAUACGAUCUAUGGAUGAAAGCGGGGGACCGUAAGGCCUCGCGCGAUUGGAGCGGCCGAUGUCAGAUUAGGUAGUUGGUGGGGUAAAGGCUCACCAAGCCAACGAUCUGUAGCUGGUCUGCGAGGACGACCAGCCACACUGGGACUGAGACACGGCCUAGACUCCUACGGGAGGCAGCAGUGGGGAAUUUUGGACAAUGGGCGCAAGCCUGAUCCAGCAAUGCCGCGUGCAGGAAGAAGGCCUUCGGGUUGUAAACUGCUUUUGUACGGAACGAAACGGCUCUGGUUAAUACCCGGGGCUAAUGACGGUACCAUAAGAAUAAGCACCGGCUAACUACGUG
rnacentral:rRNA from 1 species